CGCCCCCUUACAGCCUCGCCCCGCCUAGGCCCCGCCCCCCAGGCCGCUGGGCCUUUUCACUCCUGGUGCGCGCAGUUUCUCACACACCCGGAAGCUGAGAGAGGUCUCGCUGCGCAGCAUUUAUUUUUAUCAGAAGAUAACUUCCAUUUGCAAUUCUUCAACCAGAGACAUGGAAUAGGGUGUGUGUGUAUGUUUGGAGCAAGAGAAAAUUGUCACUUCAUGGUGCCUAUUUAAAGGAAAAUUACAACUCCUUUUCUGGUAAUUUUUUUCAUUGUUCUUUUUUUAGCUUGAACUAAAUCUUAUCAUUCAAUUUCUACUUUCCUAUAAAUAAUAACUUCUGAAUUGCUUUGCUGAAAUUGCUGGGCAUCCUGUAAUCGGCUCAUGUGAUUUUCUAAAUUUGUAUUCAUAAUAUUUUCUGACUUUGACACCAGAAUUGUGUAGGAUAUAUAUAUAUAUAAUUGUGUAGGCUAUAUAUGUGUGUGUAUAUAAUGGUGUAGGCUAAUAUAUAUAUAUGUAUAUAUAAAAUGGUGUAGGUUGUAUAUAUCAGAUCAGAUCAGUCCCUCAGUCGU
rnacentral:lncRNA from 1 species